rnacentral:lncRNA from 10 species
GACGGCGCAGCAGAGCCCGAGGAGGCCCCACCCUCCGUGCGCUCGUUGGCUGGCGAGGGAGACGAGCCUGGGCGCCUUGGGCACGCCCAUUGGCUCCGACGGCCGUCCUUCAGGGCGCCCCCUCGGUGGGGUGGCCGAAGAGCUGUCCGUCAGGUGCGGGCCACACCCGCGGCCCUGCAGUUCCACUCCCGCCUGCCAGCCCUCAACUCCCGGUCGGGUUGUCUCCCCGCCGGUCUCCCGCCCCCAGCUACCGGGUCCGCCAGGGUCAGGAGCCCGAGAUUCGCCGCCCGUCGUAGCGGCCCGCUUCGGCCCCUCGGGGCCCGGGGCUCUCCGGGACCUACACAGCCCGGGAGACUCCGGCGGGGCUGCCUGCCCUCGCCCGAGCCCGGGGGCCCAAGCUGCGGCAGCGGCUCCCAACGCCUCUGCUCGAGGAGAGCGGCGGCCUGGAUGCCCCAGCGCCCUCCCUGUCCAGUUCCUUGAAGGCCCCCAAGAGGGGCGAGGCCGGGGAGGUGCUGGAGCGGGGCCAAGUGAGCUUUCGGGGCCGCGGUUGAACUGGAGUCUUGAGUGCGCUGCGGUCAGUGGAGGCCCUUCCACCCUCGCCGCGCCCCGUGGGGAAUAGUCCCCCACCUCCCGCCAUGGCUGCAGCAGGAGGAGACGACGUCCUCCAUUUUGUCGGGACAACUGUGGGAACUUGGGACCCCUCAAAACCAAACCCCGUGGGGCCAGGACUUGUCCCGGAAGCCCCGACUGGGCUCUGCCAUUCGGACAAGGGAACAGCCCCAGCUGCCGGCGUCUGCGUCCGCGGGGCAGUACUGGUCGGGCGCGACGGUGGAGACACCCAGACGCAGCUCCCCGCCUCCAUCAACCAAGAUGGAGGGAGCUGCAGGCUCCCUUGGAGCUGGGCUCUCGCGGGUUGGAGGGGCUGAGGCCUGCCCUGGGGCGUCCCUGGGCGCCGCCGUCCUGUGCUAGCAGCCCGGGGCGCUGGCCCUGCCUAGGCCUUUUUACUGCCUGCCACCGUCUCCUGGUCCGGAAUGGUUGAUGGAGACUCCAUGGAGGCUCCCUCCACAGCCCGCUCUAUCGCGGGGCGCACCCGCUGCGGCCCCUGCGGGGAGCAGAAUCAGGGACAGAUGGCGCCCGGUGAGGGCGGGCCCCACAGGCCACCUCCACGAGGGGUCUUCUCUUUUGUUCCUCGUCUACACCUACGUCUUCGGCGGAUGUCAUGGUGCUGAACCAUUUCCCGGACUCCACGUAAAGAUGGAAGCGAUUCCGCUUUCGUCUCGCCCUGGCGGUUCUUAGUGGGAUUACAAUUGAGGAUGUUAGUUUGGAUGAAAGUUGGUGAAAUACUUACCUUAUGUCUGGAAAUACAGAUAAUGUGAUUUUUAAAAAACACAUUGAGCCCCGUUUUACUUCUGUGGUAUGGUAAAGGCACAGGUUUAUUCAAUGAAAAUCAGACGUUAACCAUCUAAUGCAGGGGUGGCCAAUCUUUUGGCUUCCCGGGGCCACAUUGGAAGAAUUGGCUUGGGCCACACAUAAAAUACGCUAACAGUAACAAUAGCUGAUGAGCUAAAACAAACGAAAAAACCAAAACGCCAAAAAAAUCUCAUAACGUUUUAAGAAAAUUUACAAAUAUGUGUUGGGCUGCAUUCAAAGCCGUCCUGGGCCGCAUGCAACCCCCAAGGGCUGCAGGUUGGACAAGCUUGAUCUAAGACAAAAGCAUGUUCACGGAUUGAUGAGAGUUCUGUGUAAGCCUUUGCAUAUUGCAUAGUGCUGUAUGUCAUGGAUAUGCCUAAUAUCACCUACAUUUUUUAGGUCCUCAGUUACUCUUUGGAAAUAAGUGAAUUACAUGUAAUGUCAUCAUUUUAAUGACUGCUGUAAAUUACAAGCACUGACUACCCUGAGUUCGUGGAGAAGGGCUCCAUAGAGAAAAUUUGAAGGUCUGACAGAAACUUUAAAUGGUAAGCUCAGUAGCCACUUGUCAUCUAUUUUCUGAUUAUCUUUUUCACAAUUUUUUGGCAUUGAUACUGUUCAAAGAUUAAAAUUGGGUAACAUUUCUUUUUCCUGAUAGUGGCAGGAAUGACAGGUUCAUGUCCCAAUGAAAACGCUCACCUCAGUAUGCUGCCAUGAUUUCGAGGGUUGUCGAAAAUUUAGGAAAAAAAAGUCUUCAUUGUUCAACAAGAUAGUGUCAUUUAUUGUAAAUCUUUUGAUAAUUCAGGACUCCCGGCUAAUACAAAGUCACAGCAUUAUGACCAAGUCUACACAAAGGGGCCAGAUAGCCUGCCUUUGAAUCGUACUUUAUUACUAGUAGCUGUGUGAUCAUCUUAACAGAUAAGUUACUUAAACUCAGCCUCACUUUUAUCAUUUAAAAAAUGUAACAAAUACUUAAGAUUUUUUUUUUUUGAGAAUUAAAUGAAUUGGCCGGGCACAAUGGCCCACGCCUGUAAUCCCAGCUAUUUGGGAGGCUGAGGCAGGAGAAUCACUUGAACCCAGGAGGUGGAGGUUGCAGUGAGCCGAGACUGCAUCACUGCACUCCAGUCUGGGCAACACAGCAAGACUGUAUCUCAAAAAAAGAAAAACAAAAAACAAGCAAAAAAAGAAUUAAAUAAAUUAUCACACAUAUGACACUUAGAAUUGCACCUGGCACAUUAAUUAAUAAAAGCUUGUAAAUUUUGCCUGUCAUUGUUAAUUCCCAAUCAGCACAGUGGUACACUAAAAAAAAAAUUCUGGCCCGGUGCGGUGGCUCACACUUGUAAUCCCAGCACUUUGGAAGGCCGAGACGGGCAGAUCACCUGAGGUCAGGAGUUUGAGACCAGCUUGACCAACAUGGCGAAACCCCGUCCCUACUAAAAGUACAAAAGUAGCCGGGCGUGGUGGCGCAUGCCUGUAAUUCCAGAUACUCGGGAGGCUGAGGCAGGAGAAUCACUUGUACCUGGGAGGUGGGGUUGCGGUGAGCCGAGAUUGCACCAUUGCACCCCAGACUGGGCAACAAGGGCGAAACUCCGUCUCAAAAACUAACUAAAUAAAUAGGAAAAAAUUCUUCCAGCCUAGGUAACAUAGUGGGACCCAGUCUCUACAAAAAAUUUUAAAAAUUAGCCAGAAGUGGUGCAUGCCUGUAGUCCCAGCUACUCAGGAGGCCGAGGUGGGAGGAUCACUUGAGCCCAGGAGGUCAAAGCUGCAGUGAGCCAUGAUUGUGCCACUGCACUCCAGCAUCUGGGUGCAGAGUGAGACCCUGUCUCAAAAACAAAAAAAAAAGUUGUUUAUAAUAAUUUAAUGACUUAUUAAAGUAACAUCAGCACUUUCUUACUAUUGUAAUAUGAAAAUAUUUAAUUCUUGGAGUUAAUAUGUAAAAUAAACCGUAGAGGAAAUGUAAUUGGAACC